rnacentral:rRNA from 1 species
AACGAACGCUGGCGGCGUGUUUAAGACAUGCAAGUCGCACGGAGUCAUUUGUGUAGCAAUACUCGAAUGGCUUAGUGGCGCACGGGUGAGUAACACGUGAAUUACAUGCCCUGUAGAGGGGGAUAGCCCAGGGAAACUUGGAUUAAUACCCCAUGGUCUCGCAAGAGUAAAGGUGGCCGCAAGGCUGUCGCUACAGGAUUGGUUCGCGCCCUAUCGGCUUGUUGGCGGGGUAACGGCCCACCAAGGCUACGACGGGUACCUGGUCUGAGAGGACGAUCAGGCACACUGAACUGAGACACGGUCCAGACACCUACGGGUGGCAGCAGUCGAGAAUAAUUCACAAUGGGGGCAACCCUGAUGGUGCAACGCCGCGUGGAGGAUGACGGUCUUCGGAUUGUAAACUCCUGUCAUCCGGGAGUAAGACCUGGGAGUUAAUAGCUCACAGGGUUGAUAGUACCGGAAGAGGAAGGGACGGCUAACUUCGUGCCAGCCGCCGCAGUAAGAC